rnacentral:misc_RNA from 1 species
GAUGAAGAACGCAGCGAAAUGCGAUAAGUAAUGUGAAUUGCAGAAUUCAGUGAAUCAUCGAAUCUUUGAACGCACAUUGCGCCCCUUGGUAUUCCAUGGGGCAUGCCUGAUCGAGCGUCAUUUGUACCUUCAAGCUUUGCUUGGUGUUGGGUGUUUGUCCAUUCUCUUGCAGAGGGACUCGCCUUAAAGUAAUUGGCAGCCAGUGUUUUGGUUUUGAAGCGCAGCACAAGUCGCGAUUCAACGCUAUACGCCAGCUUCCACAAGCCUUUUUCACUUUUGACCUCGGAUCAGGUAGGGAUACCCGCUGAACUUAAGCAUAUCAAUAAGCGGAGGA